rnacentral:rRNA from 1 species
GACAGAGGAUGCAAGCGUUAUCCGGAAUUAUUGGGCGUAAAGGGUGCGUAGGCGGUUGGAUGAGUCUUGUGUGAAAUCUUCGGGCUCAACUCGAAGUCUGCACGAGAAACUGUCUGGCUUGAGUAUGGGAGAGGUGAGUGGAAUUCCUGGUGUAGCGGUGAAAUGCGUAGAUAUCAGGAGGAACACCUGUGGCGAAAGCGGCUCACUGGACCAUAACUGACGCUGAUGCACGAAAGCUAGGGGAGCAAACAGG